AUGUAGCUGAAUGGUAGAGCACUUGUCUAGCAUGCGUGAGGCCCAGGGUUCAAUUCCCAGCAU
rnacentral:tRNA from 1 species